UCUUUAGGACAGUCUGCACUCAGCUGUCUGUAUUACCUUGGCCAUAACAUUUCAUGUUCUUGUGGAUUCCGGAUCCCUCUGAUUCCUUUCAACUGAAAACACAAUGAUUGAUGGCAGCUCAGUGGCUCCGUAGAUGGAGAGCCAGGCCUAGAGGAAGGAGGUCCUGGGUUCAAAUCUGACCUCAUUCACUUCCUAGCUGUGUGAUCCUGGGCAAGUGACCUAACCCUCAUUGUGUAGCCUUUACAGCUCUUCUGCCAUGGGACCAAUACACAUGAUCAAUUCUAAGAUAGAAGAAAAGAGAAUGGAGGCUCAGAAACCGAAAUGAUUCACCAAAGAUCACACAAAAUGCAAGUAGCAACCCAGGAUUCAAAUGCCAAGCUUCCAAUGCCAAAGUAUUCAAAGAAUCUUCCCAUGACACCUCACUAGAUGCCUCACUCUGCAUGUACAAGGGCUUCCAUAUAGACUGCUGGCUACUACUAGGGGCAAUCUGAAUGGGAGAGGAAGAACAGGACAGGGAAUGCGUUCUUUCAGAAAACAGAAAUGGAGGAAACUUUAACCCUGACCCCAGGUGGAAGGAAAACCCUGGCCAGGAUGACAGAAUAGCAGCCUUUUCCAAGUCACCUUCAUGUGGUCGAGUCUUCUCUCAUGCCUGUGGCAUCCAGAAAUACAAAAGCACAGUUGACUUAACCUUGUUUGGUUCUGAACAUCACUGGCAGAGCCUUUCUGGGAGGGAACGAGUCUCCAAGGAAUCAGCCUAUCUGGAGUCAUCCACCACUUUGGAGAGGAAGGGCAUGCAUUUCAUGCUUUAUUCUCAAGAAGAGCCUGCACAAAGAAUCUCCACUCAUGGGACAAGAACAGCAAAACAUGCCUGUGGUUGGAAUGGAACGUAGAAGUCGGCAAGUUCAGUGCCCUCUUUUGACAGAGAAGAAAACUGAGCAAGCCAGAGAGGUCGAGUGAUCUGUCCACAGUCACACAGCCAAUCCAUGACAUACCUAGCACGUGAAUCCAAGUCUCCUGGGCUUGCCCUAGUUUUCCAAGUCUUCCUAGAUGAAAUGGGGGCUGGCUGGGGGGAAGGAAACGGUGGCAGCAAUUUUUUGUCUUCUGGUUUCUUAAAAAAAUUACAAUUAUUUUCUCAAAGUAUUGCAUU
rnacentral:lncRNA from 1 species